AGAGUUUGAUCCUGGCUCAGGAUGAACGCCAGCUACAGGCUUAACACAUGCAAGUCGAGGGGAAACGAUAUUGGAAGCUUGCUUCCGAUAGGCGUCGACCGGCGCACGGGUGAGUAACGCGUAUCCAACCUGCCCACCACUUGGGGAUAACCUUGCGAAAGUAAGACUAAUACCCAAUGAUAUCUCUAGAAGACAUCUGAAAGAGAUUAAAGAUUUAUCGGUGAUGGAUGGGGAUGCGUCUGAUUAGCUUGUUGGCGGGGUAACGGCCACAAGGCGACGAUCAGUAGGGGUUCUGAGAGGAAGGUCCCCCANAUUGGAACUGAGACACGGUCCAAACUCCUACGGGAGGCA
rnacentral:rRNA from 1 species